GUGAGGAAUAUUGGUCAAUGGGCGAGAGCCUGAACCAGCCAAGUCGCGUGAAGGAAGAAGGAUCUAUGGUUCGUAAACUUCUUUUGCAGGGGAAUAAAGUGCGGGACGUGUACCGUUUUGUAUGUACUCUGCGAAUAAGGAUCGGCUAACUCCGUGCCAGCAGCCGCGGUAAUACGGAGGAUCCAAGCGUUAUCCGGAUUUAUUGGGUUUAAAGGGUGCGCAGGAGGGUUGAUAAGUCAGCGGUGAAAGUUUGCAGCUUAACUGUAAAAUUGCCGUUGAAACUGUCGAUCUUGAGUGCAAAUGAGGUAAGCGGAAUGUGUUGUGUAGCGGUGAAAUGCUUAGAUAUAACACAGAACACCGAUUGCGAAGGCAGCUUACUGGGAUGCAACUGACGCUCAUGCACGAAAGCGUGGGGAUCAAACAGGAUUAGAAACCCCUGUAGUCC
rnacentral:rRNA from 1 species